GGUCAAUACAGGUCUCUUUAAACUUUGUGUAUGUUUGGAUAUCUUGAAAGGAAAUGAGAUCAUAAAACUUCAGAGCAGUAUUUCUCCAGCAGUACAUUGGAAAUAGAAGCUGCCUUUUAGCUGAAACACUGUGAUCAAAGCUCACAAGUUAAGAAAUUAGCUGUAUGUAAAAUUAUAUUCUCUACACAAACUGUGCUGAAAAGGCUGUGUUAAGGCUUCUUGGCCAGAAACGGAGUCUAUAGAGUCAUAGAACCAGAGAAUGAUUUCAGCUGAAAAAGACCUUUAGGGUCAUUGAGUUCAACCAUUAACCCAGCACUGCCAAGUCCGCCACUAAACCAUGUGCCUGACACAUCUACAGUCUUUUAAAUACCUCCAGGAGUGGUGACUCCACCACUUCCCCGGGCAGCCUGUUUUAAUGCUUGACAGCCCUAAGAAAUUUUUACUAGUGCUGAGGAGGCUAAUGUUGAGGAGGCUGAGUAAAUUAACAUUAGUUAAUUUACUAAUGUUGAGGAGACUGAGGAGGGAAGACAGGAGGAGAGUAUACAUAAAGAAAGAUAAAACCUUUCCCUCGAAGAAUUUCAUAUCUGGAAAUCUAUACGAAAAGAUUCCCACACCACCAGGAAAGAAGCAGGGGAUCCAAACUAAUCAGCAGCAUUUUACAUGUAUUUCCAAGGAUACAAGAAAGGAAGGAGGAUGGAUGAUCAAGACCACAAGGUCUGUUUUGCUUAACUGAAGGCAAAUCCUGUUCUGCACAAAUACCAAGUGCUGCAAAGGUGAAAUAACCAUGUAGAACACCUAAAACAAUAGUGCUUCCCCUUUUGGCUUGUAUAGUUAGCCAGUAUGACACACCUUCUUAGCUGUCUUUGCAGUCUGCUUUUCUUUGUUCAGAAGUAAAUCUGAUUGAAUCAAUGUUU